rnacentral:rRNA from 1 species
UACGUAGGGGGCAAGCGUUGUCCGGAAUCAUUGGGCGUAAAGCGCGUGUAGGCGGCUUGGUAAGUCCGCUCUGAAAGCCCGGGGCUCAACCCCGGGAGGCGGGUGGAUACUGUCAAGCUCGAGUCCGGAAGAGGCGAGUGGAACAGCUAGUGUAGAGGUGAAAUUCGUAGAUAUUAGCUAGAACACCAGUGGCGAAGGCGGGUCUCUGGGCCGAUACUGACGCUGAGGAGCGAAAGCGUGGGGAGCGAACAGG